UGCAAAUUCAGAAAGUUGCUAGGCAGCUGAAGAUGCUAACUCGCUGGGUUUCGGUAAAAACUCAGGACGUGGGGACAGUAAAAAUACUUUUAGGAAAAAGCUAGGUUAAUAGACAUUAAUCCCUUCUGCUACAACCAGUGUGACACUACUUAAGCAGUCAUUUAAUGCCGUCGCCAGCGUCCCCACCAGCAGGCAGUGUCCAGCUGAAGGCGAGAGCUAGGUUUUAGCCUGGAGGUUCUGGGGCUUAGAGCAGUCUCGGAUAAGAUACUAAGGGAAUGUACUCGAAAAUGAGAAACCUGCAACGUUGCCGUAGGAUUUGAGCGCCUACUAUGUUGCAAGCACCGAACCACACUCUACCAUAAUUCAUUUAAUCCUCACACAGCAUAAAAGCCACAGAACACUGGAGGAAAAGCACAGAGGGGAGAUAUCAGCCCUUCUCAGUGGUCUACGAGCCCACACGUCUACCUCGAUGGAUUCAACCAAGGUGCUGCUGUGGAAGAUCUUCGUUUUCGACUAUGGAAAAGGGGGAGACACCAAUGUAACACUUACUCUUGCAUCUUAAGAACAGGAAAAAUAGCAGAUAUAGGGAAAUAGCAUAUAUACUUCUUCAGAGAAUUAAUUAUUUCACAGAUUAAUCUGUUCCUUAAGAAUGAGCAGCUAAGAAAAUGACAGCCCUCUAAAGAAAGACAUUUGAUGAU